rnacentral:misc_RNA from 1 species
GUAUAUAUUUGUGCUGUUACACACUAUAACGUCAUCCAUUCCGUAACAUACAUGGGUUUAUAAAAAAAUCAUAGCUAGGGCUUUCGACGUCAUUUCUAACGUCGUGAUCAUCCCAAGCUACACGUAGUGCACAGGUGUGAGAGGUAGAUAUGCGAUCGAGGCGUGCACAUGCCCCAAAAGGCCAGCUACAACCCCUCUCGACAUUCGUUUCAUUAAUGAUCCUUCCGCAGGUUCACCUACGGAAA